rnacentral:rRNA from 1 species
UACGUAGGGUGCAAGCGUUAAUCGGAAUUACUGGGCGUAAAGCGCACGCAGGUGGCUGAGUCAGUCGAUUGUGAAAGCCCUGGGCUUAACCUGGGAAUUGCAGUCGAUACUACUCAGCUAGAGUAUGGGAGAGGGUAGUGGAAUUCCCGGUGUAGCGGUGAAAUGCGUAGAUAUCGGGAAGAACAUCGGUGGCGAAAGCGCUCUACUGGACGGUAUCUGACACUGAGGGACGAAAGCUAGGGGAGCGAAUGGG